UUGGGGAUACUGAUUUUCAAAAGCCCAGUGUUCGGGAUAUCACGGUUCCAAAAAAAACUCUCACCCACCUCCCUUCCGAAGCUUCCUUUCCCAAUAAUCUUCCGGACCUUCUCAAAUCUCCACGGAGUGCUCGUUGGCCCCCGAAGCUCCCAGAACCUCCUCCUCCGCUUCUCUCCACUCUUCACGCCGCCACCGAGUUUAUACACGCUUCGUCCCGUCCUGCCGCGCCCGUCUGUUCCAUAGCAUACCAUUAUUGUGAUAAACCAUCCAAUCCAGAGUUCCAUUCCAUUCUGAAUUGCUCCUCCCAGCUUCAGAUAAACCAUCGAGAUUGUGCCGCCAGCGCCCCACCAUGGCCGCCGCGCCGCCGCUGUCCGCCGACGUACUCUCCUUCCUAACCUCCGCCCCCGCCGCGCCGACGCCGGUCGUAGCCGCGGCGUGGGGCGCGGCGAGGGCGGGUCCUGUGAGGGGUAAGGCGGCACUAAGGACGACGAGAGGAGGAAGGGGCGGGGUGCUGGCUCCGCUGGUCGGGAGGAGGCCCCGCCGGACGCCGCUCUCGGUGCGCUGCAACGCCACCAGCCGGGACGGCAGGAUUACACAACAAGAGUUCACUGAGAUGGCGUGGCAAGCAAUUGUCUCAUCCCCCGAGGUGGCAAAGGAGAGCAAACACCAGAUUGUGGAGACCGAACAUCUGAUGAAAUCCCUGCUGGAGCAACGGAAUGGCCUUGCCCGCCGUAUCUUUUCUAAGGCAGGAGUUGACAAUACAAGGCUUCUCGAUGCCACAAAGAAAUUCAUCCAGAGGCAGCCUAAGGUAUUAGGUGAAGAACCUGGAUCUAUGUUGGGGCGUGACUUAGAAGCUCUGAUACAAAGAGCAAGGGACUUUAAGAAAGAGUAUGGUGAUUCAUAUGUCUCAGUUGAACAUCUAGUCCUUGGCUUUGCCGAAGAUAAGCGGUUUGGGACACAGCUGUUCAAGGAUUUUCAGAUUACUGUGAAGACCUUGAAAUCAGCCAUUGAAUCGAUCAGAGGGAAGCAAAAUGUAAUUGAUCAAGAUCCUGAGGGUAAGUACGAAGCUUUGGAUAAGUAUGGAAAGGAUCUGACAGCUAUGGCACGUCAAGGGAAGCUUGAUCCAGUUAUUGGAAGAGAUGAUGAGAUUCGAAGAUGUAUACAAAUUUUAUCACGAAGAACAAAGAACAAUCCAGUUCUAAUUGGUGAACCUGGUGUAGGGAAAACGGCUAUAGCUGAAGGACUAGCUCAGAGGAUUGUUCAAGGAGAUGUCCCACAAGCUCUGACAAACCGGCGACUAAUUGCACUUGAUAUGGGUGCAUUGAUUGCUGGUGCAAAAUAUCGUGGAGAGUUUGAGGAUAGACUUAAGGCUGUUCUCAAAGAAGUUACAGAUUCUGAUGGGCAGACCAUUCUUUUCAUUGAUGAGAUUCACACAGUUGUUGGAGCAGGUGCCACAAAUGGUGCAAUGGAUGCUGGUAAUCUUCUCAAACCAAUGCUUGGGAGAGGAGAGCUACGGUGCAUUGGUGCAACAACCCUUGAUGAAUACCGCAAAUAUAUUGAGAAAGAUCCAGCACUAGAGCGGCGCUUCCAACAAGUUUAUGUUGAUCAGCCUUCAGUUGAAGAUACAAUUUCAAUACUCCGAGGACUAAGAGAGAGAUAUGAGUUGCACCAUGGUGUACGAAUAUCUGACAGUGCCCUUGUAGCUGCAGCUGUUCUUUCAGACCGUUAUAUCAGUGGACGAUUCUUGCCUGACAAAGCUAUUGAUCUGGUUGAUGAAUCAGCCGCCAAAUUAAAAAUGGAGAUAACAUCAAAACCUACUGCUCUGGAUGAGAUCGAUCGUGCUGUCCUAAAGAUUGAAAUGGAGCGUCUCUCACUUACAAAUGAUACAGACAAAGCAUCAAAGGACAGACUAUCCCGUCUUGAAGCAGAACUAUCACUCUUGAAGGAUAAACAACGUCAGUUGACUGAGAAGUGGGAGCACGAGAAAUCAGUGAUGACUAAAAUUCAAUCUAUCAAAGAAGAGAUUGACAGGGUAAAUGUGGAGAUACAGCAGGCAGAACGUGAGUACGAUCUUAAUCGAGCUGCUGAACUGAAAUAUGGCAGCCUGAAUGCCUUGCAGCGCCAGCUUCAAACGACAGAGAAGGAGCUUGAUGAAUAUCAGAGUUCUGGGAAAUCCAUGCUAAGGGAAGAGGUGACCCAAGACGAUAUUGCAGAAAUAGUGAGCAGGUGGACAGGCAUUCCAGUUUCUAAACUAAAGCAAUCUGACAGGGAGAAAUUGCUGUAUCUGGAGGAAGAGCUGCACAAGCGAGUUGUUGGUCAGGAUCCUGCUGUAAAAGCAGUUGCAGAGGCCAUUCAGAGAUCCAGAGCUGGAUUAUCUGACCCAAACCGUCCUAUUGCCAGUUUCAUGUUCAUGGGACCUACAGGAGUUGGCAAGACAGAGUUAGCGAAAGCCCUUGCUUCCUUUAUGUUCAACACUGAGGAAGCUGUUGUCAGGAUUGACAUGAGCGAGUACAUGGAGAAGCAUUCAGUCUCGAGGUUGAUUGGUGCUCCACCAGGUUAUGUUGGGUAUGAAGAGGGUGGUCAACUGACAGAGGCUGUUCGCCGUAGGCCAUAUUCGGUUGUCUUGUUUGAUGAGAUUGAGAAAGCUCAUUUGGAUGUCUUCAAUGUCUUCCUUCAAAUAUUGGACGAUGGUAGGGUUACUGAUUCUCAAGGCCGGAAAGUGAGCUUCACCAACUCCAUCAUUAUCAUGACGUCCAACGUUGGGUCACAGUAUAUACUAAACAUGGAUGAAGAAGAUGGAUCAUCUGAUUCAGCCUAUGAGAACAUAAAGAGGAGGGUGAUGGAUGCUGCAAGAUCGGUGUUCCGUCCAGAGUUCAUGAAUCGUGUAGAUGAGUACAUUGUUUUCAAGCCUCUCGAGAGAGAACAGAUCAACAGCAUUGUCAAAUUACAGCUUGCAAGAGUACAGAAGAGGAUUGCAGAUCGCAAAAUAAAGCUCGAUGUCUCGCCUGGAGCCAUUGAAUUCUUGGGAAGCCUCGGGUAUGACCCGAAUUAUGGCGCGAGGCCUGUGAAGAGAGUGAUUCAACAGUAUGUGGAGAACGAACUCGCAAAGGGCAUCCUCAGAGGUGAUUUCAAGGACGAGGACAGCAUCUUCGUGGACACCCAGGUUACGGUGCCCUCCAAUGGCCAGCUUCCGCUGCGAAAGCUAGUUUUUCAGAAAGUGGGUGAGCAAUCGAAGCCUGCUGCUGAAGGCGAGAAGUUCUUGCCGGCUGUUUGAUUGGAGUACGGUUGCAGUUUUGCAGAUCGUGAGCAAUAAAAUGUACAUAUAAGGGUGACAGACUGUGGAAGUGUAUUCGAUUUUGAUGUCCUCCGACGUAACUGAUGCAAACUAACAAGAAACAGGUAUCCAGUUGGAACUCCCUUUGCCAA